GGACAGACCAAAUUCCAGCAACAGUCGCGGCUAGCACCGCGAGUGUUACUUCCGCCGGUCAGAUACCCGGGAUAUCUGCUUGGAGAACCUCUGCUACCAGACAACUGCCUAAACC